AUGGCCUGGAUCUCUCUGUUGUUCUCGCUCCUCACUGUCUACACAGGUUCUGGGGCCUCCUCGGUGCUGACUCAGCCAUCUUCUGUGUCCAAAAGCCUGGGAGAGACAGCCUCCAUCUCCUGUGCUGGGGAUGCACUUAGAAGUAACCAUGCACACUGGUACCAGCAGAAACCUGGCCAGGCCCCUAAGCUGGUGAUUUAUAAUAGUAACAGCAGGGCCUCGGGGAUCCCUGACAGAUUCUCUGGCUCCAGCUCAGGGAACACGGCCACCCUGAGCAUCUCUGGGCUCCAGGCUGAGGAUGAGGCUGACUAUUACUGUCAGUCGUAUGAUAGUGGUCCUCCUCACAGUGACACAGACUGAUGGGGAAGUGAGACAAAAACCCCUCCCAGGCCUGCUCCCCCUGUGCCCUCCCCUCUGGGCUCCAGAGAGGUGCCUGCUGAGCACAGAACAGAAACAGCU